rnacentral:lncRNA from 1 species
GGAUAGAUCACACUAUAAUUGAAAAAAUUUUUAAACAAUCACCCCCAAUCUCAGCCCAACAAAUACCAUCCCUUCUUAACUUUGAUAUUUUUAGACUUUAGUAUAGCAUGCUUACCGAGUACACUCUUUUGAUUCGAGCUAAUCAUCUUAUAGCAUUCUAUGGAUAUUUUACUACUAUGAUGAUAAGUCCUGAUUGGUCCUAUCCUUUUGAAACACUGAAGGACGUACCUG